UGGUAGAGGAAAUAUUUUUAUCUGAGCCUCAGGAAAUGGUGGUCUGGCUAAAGACUGCGGUGGUGUGGAUGGUUAUGUGAAGAGCAUUUACACAGGGGCAAAGGAUGCCAUCAUUUACCUCUGCCCCACAGCUUCUGGGCUACAAGAACUACUCAGCAUCAGUGGCCACCUAGACAUAUCCAGUGAGGAAGGAGUGUGGAGGCCACUAUCUUGAAGCAGACCUUCAAAUGUGGAGUGAGUAUAGCUGCGCUAUGGAGUAAUCUGCUGAGAAUUUACCGCCCUUUUGGAGAAUACUCCUGGUUUCAUGUGAUGCACUGCUGGAUCUGCUUUUCACAACCAAUGAAGAACUGGGUGAGGAUGUGAUAAUAAACAGCAGCCUUGACUGUAGCGACCAUGAAAUAGUGGGGCCCAAGAUUCUGAGGAGAGCAAGGGAAGAGAGUAGCAGAAAAUAGACCCUGUACUUCAGGAAAGCAGAUUUCACCUUAUUCAAGGAACUGGUAGGUGGCAUCUCAUAGGAGACACCUCUGAAGGAUGAAGGAGCUCAGGAAAGCUGAUUUGGAUUUGGCUUGCUUGAUGCUGGACGAUUAAUGAAGGAAGCCCUAACUGGACAAAUGUUGGUCUCCUGAGACAAUGUGUUGUUGAUAACAGAGAACAAGCUUGUUAACUGUGAAUGUGAAGAGAUGAAGCAAGCAAAAACAGAAGUGUGAAGAGCUUUGCUGCCACUGUUGACUAUAUCAGCCCACUCUGCUCCCAAUUUAGGAUCCAUGAGUGAAUAGAUAGAGCCGUUCCUGCAAGUGGUCCUGUGACUCGGAAGCUGACAACAGCUGCAUGCAAAGGAACAAAGAAUGAGAGUGACAAUUCAGAGUGCAAGCAGAAAUGCAAGCCUGCCAGUAGGAUUUAAAAGUUUGAUGGCUCUUUUCCCCUGGAAUUUCAGGGAUGCAAUCUCAAUGUAAAUAAGAAUCAGACCUUGGAAUCUGGAGUGAUCUGGGCAAAUUAGUCUGUGGAAUGGAAGAGUGAUCAUAUACCAUAUCCACUAUAUCUUUCUGAAAAAUUGGAUCACUGAUCUUAGCCUUUUCUUAUGGCCAAAACGGCAUUCAACAUAUGACUGCAAAUGCUUCUUUUCAACUCCAGAUAACGGCUCAUUGGUAUGUGACUGCAAUGAGAUAGUUGCAAGAUGGGGCAAGGGAUUGACACAGUGUGAGUGUGCAGGGGACCCCAGUCACUGACGCUCCAGGACAGAAGAUUCUGAGAGUCAGACCCACACUGUUCCCGUUCACGAUGACACCCUGGCAUCUGAAGAACAACAUGACACCCACCACAAAAUGCUGCUGUUGGCUGGCGCUGUCUAAAGCGGUGAGGUUUCGCGAGGGAGGUGAGGCUGCCAAAGGAACGCAAGUGGGGGUGUUACAGUGAGUGGGACUGGGCGAUCAGCCGUGACUCUGAUCUACGGGACCUGUAGAAAACUCAA